CCUACGGGGUGCUGCAGUGAGGAAUAUUGGUCAAUGGCCGAGAGGCUGAACCAGCCAAGUCGCGUGAGGGAAGACGGCCCUACGGGUUGUAAACCUCUUUUAUCGGGGAGCAAAGCGAGUCACGUGUGACUCAUUGAGAGUACCCGAAGAAAAAGCAUCGGCUCAAUCCGUGCCAGGAGCCGCGGUAAUACGGGGGGUCCGGGCGUUAUCAGGAUUUAGUGGGGUUAAAGGGAUCGUAGGCCGCAUGUCAAGAGUGCUGUGAAAUGUCCGGGCUCAACCCGGGCCUUGCAGCGCGAACUGGCGUGCUUGAGUCCGCGGAAAGCAGGCGGAAUGCGUCGUGUAGCGGUGAAAUGCUUAGAUAUGACGAAGAACCCCGAUUGCGAAGGCAGCUGGCUGCAGCGGAACUGACGCUGAUGCUCGAAAGCGCGGGUAUCGAACAGGAUUAGAUACCCCAGUAGUC
rnacentral:rRNA from 1 species